GUCCCAUUUUCUACUGUGUUGUUUACUAUUACUAAUCAACCAUUAUAAAUUCUUUCAAAAAAAAAAAACCAUAUUAUAACGUUAAAAAAAAAAAUCAACACCAUUAAAAUUUAAAACAAAGGCUUAGAGGACAAAACUUAGGUACAGUGCCCUAAGUCCUGUUCAUACUGUUCUCAAUCAAAAAAUUACUGUUCUCCAGCCAACACAACGCAACACGAACAGACUCUUCUUCUCCCUCACGAUUGUAAGUUCAGUUUUCUCCCUCACCAGAACGCUAAACGCCACCGUUUCUCGCCGUCGUGACCGUAAGUUCUGUUUCCAUCCUAGCUUUUAAUCUCAGCCAUUAACCGGAGCAAAGCUGCGCUCUCUCUUAACACUGAAACAACGGCCGAAAUUGGUCUCCGAGAGUAUAAAANNN
rnacentral:lncRNA from 1 species